UUACGGUCAAAUCACGCUGAAACACCGGUUCUCGUUCGAUCACCGAAGUUAAGCAUCGUAGAGCCAGGUCAGUGCUUAGAUGGGGGACCGCUUGGGAACACCUGGUACUGUAAG
rnacentral:rRNA from 1 species